CCUACGGGAGGCAGCAGUGAGGAAUAUUGGUCAAUGGGCGUAAGCCUGAACCAGCCAAGUCGCGUGAGGGAUGAAGGUUCUAUGGAUCGUAAACCUCUUUUAUAAGGGAAUAAAGUGCGGGACGUGUCCGGUUUUGUAUGUACCUUAUGAAUAAGGAUCGGCUAACUCCGUGCCAGCAGCCGCGGUAAGACGGAGGGUCCGAGCGUUAUCCGGAUUUAUUGGGUUUAAAGGGUGCGUAGGCGGCCUUUUAAGUCAGCGGUGAAAGUCUUUGGCUCACCCCUAGAAUUGCCGUUGAAACGGGGAGGCUUGCGUAUGUUUGAGGCAGGCGGAAUGCGUGGUGUAGCGG
rnacentral:rRNA from 1 species